GGAUUUAAUCUUGUUCGAUUGCAACGGUAGAUGUUAAGUAAAAACUGCAAUUUCAAUAAAAAACCUUUUAUCUCGAAACAGAUGAAUGGCCUUAACUCCUUACCAAAUAGAGCCGCAUCCAUAAAGAUUUUUAUGUGGUUUUUACUAGCAUAGAUUCGAAUUUUACAACCAAAAAAAUCUGUAUCCGAAUUUUCAUAUUGCUAGUUUUCGGUGCACGUGGCCUGUAGAAACUGCUUUCGCCAUGAAAUUUUAUCGAAUAUUAUCAGUUAAUAAAUUGCCGUUCUAGUUAAUGACCAAUAAGAAGAUUAUCCUAGAUGACUAAAAUAAAUAAAUAAUUUAUGUACGCCGUCCCAAAGGGUAGAAAAGUUUGAUGUUUCUCAUGGGGCUUACCCACCAAAGUUGUGGUGAUUCUAAUUUCUAGAAAAACUUGAAGAGCAGGGGAGCAAGUUUUAGGCCUUGUUUUAUUCUCAUAAUAAAAUAGCGAGAAUACGCGAUCUAAUAAAGAGAGAGAUUGACACCCACCUGAACGAACUGCAGCUUUUCUUUCAGAUGUGUUAAAACUUGUACCGUGGUAGUUAUCUUCUUUCUCAGCUUCAAAAUUUCCUGAAAUGGAGAAAAGACGUGAAAGUGACGAGUAAAGGGCUUCUCGUGAAGCUAGAUGCAUAGUUCAUUGCAUAAUUCAUUCACGACUUAAAGAAUUCAUAGGCAGAUUUAAAGAACAGCAAGCAAAAUCAUCGCCAUUUUAGGUGUUUGCAUAACCCCUCCUUUCCAGAAAUUUUGGAUCCAUCCCUGUUGAACUAAAAUGCAUAGGUCUGGAGAAGAAAAAGCCUAUUGACUCCUAAUCAGAAUGAUUGCUCUCGCUAAAAAGUCAAAGUAAGGUGUGAAAAUGAAAAAGCAUCUGGAGUUUAAGUUCAGUUUAUGAAGAGAAUUAUCACUUAUAGGUAAUUAGUUUUCUAUUUAGUUGCCCUGAUUGCUAAUGCUGAAUACCUCGUUCCGCUCCUCAAUCUUCUCAUUGUACGUUUGGUUCUCGAUUUUCAGUUGCUCAAAGUCAAUCAGAUGCAGUCCUUCAGCAAGCUCCUCCUGUCAAUAACAAAAAAGGCAAUAAUUUAAUCACUGUUGGUUGAAGAUUACAACUUGAAGAAGGGCAGCCCUGUAUUGAGAUGCAACAGAAGUAACGAGAGAGCCAAUAAGUAGUCAACUCGUCCUGCUAUGUUCAAAAUAAACUUUAUCGGAUAACAACACAGGGGCGGAUCCAGAGCAAAUUUGAACGAGGGGCAGUCGGUAGCGGGGGCGCAGAAAAUUUUCAAAAAUUGGUGACGAGAGUACGCUGUAUACAACAAUUUCAGAUCCAUUUUCAGAAUAAACAACAUAACUUUGAGGUAAUCCUUGAAACAAAUUAACCUAUCGGUCUCAGAAACUUUUUCACCUGAUUCUCAUUCUUCAAAAGGGGCGCACAAUUUCCAAAAAAGGGGCUCCAGACUUGCUUCAACUCGUUGAGGGAGUGGCAACUACCCCUAGUUGCCCCCCCUUAAAUCCGCCACUGUAAUCACACAAGAAUAAAAAUCAGCGUUAUACAAAAAAAAUUAAUUGCUGUUUUCCGUUACCUGUGCUGCUAAGGUUGUUUAAGAUAGAAGUAUGUACUUGAGAAGAUGAAUUUUGACGAAAGUAACAGAAUUUAAUUUAAUCGAAACAAUUAACAGAUGGCACAUUACCUUCUUUUUCCUGAAAUAUUCAGCUAGCUUGUGUUGCAGUUGGUUAUUUAAGUUUUGGAGCUGCGAACGUUCCUCAAAAACCUCCUGCAAAAAAAGGGAAAGGCUUUGGCAUCAAUUUGCAAGUCUAGAGUUCUAUUCACGCUCUAAGCGUUCAACUUUUUUAGAUUCUUUACAACAGUCAAACGAGAGUUUGCUAAAAUCUAGUAGGAAAUACAUUUGCCAGAUGUCCCCAACGCUCCUCUGUUAGAUUAUUGUUGCUGUAAAUAACAGGGCAAAUGUAAGAGUUUCUAGGGCUUCAAAGGCCACAUCAACUCAGAAAAGAUUAAACUGUCAAUCUGUAAUAAAAUUCAUUCUAUUUACAAAUUAUAAAAGCUAUAGUAGUGUAUUCUAUUCCAACAGGUUUAUUCCAUAAUUUUUUAAAAUAGGUAUAUAUCUGUUUUGGACACAGAAAGUCAGUAUUUUGGGUGAAAAUUCUCAUAGAGAGGGUGAUAACUUGUGGAAAAGUGGGCAAUUUUGAAUUGGAAUGGAUACAAAUCGAGAACAACAAAUGCCAGUUUUACAAUUUUUGGUCCCCUGCUUAUAAUUAUGCAGUGCCUUAAAAUAAUUUCUAUUGUUGCAAAGAUGCAAACCUUGUAUCUUUCGAGCAACUGAGCUCUAUCAAACACAGGAUAUUCAGGUGAUGAGCCACGAUCGCUCUGGUUCUCCUCUUCUUCAGGUAUAUUACGAAAGCCUGUAUAGGAGACAACAUUUGUUCAUUUGUUAUCAGUUGAAGAUAACAUUUGUUCUCGAAUUUCAAACAAACCAAGCUACAUUUUAUUGUGUUUAUGAAAGCAGAAUUGGGAACACAUGGCCUGCUUUUGGCAUGAUAGUGAAGCCUUGCUAACCCAGGUAUAUCUUUGGUACUUUAUGAUCUAAAGCUUCAUAUCAAUGCAAUUUGAUCCAAAGAUAUUUCUUAGUUUUUCUGUUUGUGAUUAUUUUUCAAAAGUCAUACUGAAAAUUUCUCAGUGGAGUCCCUGAUCACUGCUGUUCAGAUUCACCUUUUUGAGCUGAGCUUAUAAAAAUCUUAAAGUAAUGGUAAAAAAUAAGUGAAUAAAUGAAAUUUAAAACAAUUUGCUAACCUACCAAAACUUUCAUUAAUACUGUCUAACACCAAAAAGAGUAAUUAAAUAUUCUACUAGUAAACUGACCAUAAUUUUCUUCCAUUUCCUCAAUAGCUGGAGGUGGGGGUGUUGAAUAGGCAUCAGGAAAUUCCCGAUUUGCAAGUGUAUCUUCUGCACCAUGUUGCAUUUCAUCAUCAAACUCUUGAUUAGCUAUUUGAAUAUCUGGGUGUGUGUCCUCUUCUUCUGUGAUUGCAUUGUA